ACUCUAGCACCGUUAACCAAAAAAAAAAAACCCGGAAGAAAACCCCAAUCUGACGAGCUGUUUUCAGAACCCUAACCCUAACAUUCAAUUCUCGUUUGGAAUUGGUUUGUGAUUAGGGAAUGGGAAAGAAGAAGAAGAGAGCGUCAGAUAAGGUUUGGUGCUAUUACUGUGAUAGGGAAUUUGAUGACGAGAAGAUAUUGGUUCAGCACCAGAAAGCCAAACACUUCAAGUGCAAUUUUUGCCAUAGGAAGCUCUCCACUGCUAGCGGCAUGGCCAUUCACGUCCUUCAGGUUCACAAAGAGACUGUCAACAAGGUACCAAAUGCCAAAGAAGGUAGAGAAUCAACAGAUAUUGAAAUAUAUGGAAUGGAAGGAAUCCCACCGGAUGUGUUAGCUGCUCACUAUGGAGAGGAAGAGGAUGAGGCCCUGGCAAAGACUGCCAAAUUAGACAUCCUAUCAUCCCAGUAUGUUGGUGGUGUGCUUCCAGGAUCAUUAGCUGCCGGUUAUCCUCCCCAGGCAACUUUCGGCACAGUACCACCACUCUACAAUCCUGCUGUUCCAAUGCGUCCUGCUGGUUGGCCAGUUCCUCCUCGCCUCCAUCCUUGGUAUCCACAGUAUCCUGCUGUCAUGUUUCCACCUCCUGCACCUAUGGGUUUGCCACAACAACCACUGUUUCCUGUGCAGAAUGUGAGGCCUCCAGUGCAAGCACCUGCACCGCCUAUACUUCAACCAUCACUACCUGUUGCUCCUCCAGGACUGCCAGUAUCUACCCCACCUGUUCCUGUGUCUCAACCAUUGUUUCCUGUGGUUCCUAACAACAAUUUUGUUCAAAGUUUGCCAAUGCUGACAGCAAAUGUGCCAUUAAGCUCACCUGCUGAAGUGAACAACUCAAUUGCCCCUAAAAUGGGAAACUGUUCUCCUUCAACCAUUGGCUAUCAGGUUCCAGCCCCAACAUUAGUAAAUUUACAUUCUUAUGCCUCUGGCCCUAAUACUGGUGGACCCUCAAUUGGACCACCUCCUGUAAUUACAAACAAAGCUCCAGCGUCAAAUGAGGUCUACUUGGUUUGGGAUGAUGAUGCUAUGUCCAUGGAGGAAAGACGAAUGUCCUUGCCAAAGUACCAGGUGCAUGAUGAGACUAGCCAGGUAAGUUAUCAUUACCUAGAACUGGUAUUCUUUCUUCUGGAUAUGGACUUGAGUUGUGCGCCUGUCGAGAGGUGUUGCAUUCCAUUUCUCAGAUUCAGUUGUUUUACUAUUCUUUCCUUGUUGUUAAGCAAGUUGUCCCCAUUCUCCUUCCUCUUGCUGAAACUAUCUAAUACUCUUUGAAGAAUACCUGAUAAUCCAAUCAAUCAUACUUUAUGUUUCGACCCCAUUAGUUCAUGGACUGUUUUAUCUUUGGCCACUCUCCGGUUGGCAAGGAAUCCCAAUAAGUGUGGUCAUCGAGAGAUUCAAGUAUGUAUUUUCAUUAUCUUUUGCUCGUAAUUAAGUAAUGAUAUUUCUGUCAAGGAGGUGAGCAUCUACUCUGAGGAACAGGAUUAUGAAUCAAGUGUAUGUAUUUGUUCUUGGAAAUUUCAUUUUGUGUCUAUAUCUUCGCCUGUGCUUGGCCUUUGAAAAGAUUUGGGUUUGGGUGAGCAAGCGUACACCUACCAGAUGCCUUGUAAAUUAUAUUGAUUAUACUAUUGACAUAUGGUCAAACAGAGGUUCAAUGUUGGCUCAGAUGACCUCAAUAGAUGCAGCAAUAGACAGAAGAAUCUCAGAAAGCAGGCUUGCUGGGAGUAUGGCUUUCUAGACAUUAGCAACAUCUAGUGCUAUAGUUUUCCUUUGAUGCAGGGUGCUCGCAACUCCAGGAAUACUACUCUUUUCAUAUCAGUUUUGGAUGUAAAAUCCUUUUAAGAGCCGUUUAUUUUUACACCCUGUAUUGGAGAAAGGAAGAUAGAAAGGGAACAUAUAUUUUUCUCUAGGGUGUGUUGGGUACAGAUCGAUCCUCUUCUCGUGUUCGAUUUGUCAAAACUUAUGAA